rnacentral:lncRNA from 1 species
CACAGUUUACAUUAAAAAUUAUAUAAUUGUCCCGAAUAAACAGCUGUCAUGGAUGCAAAGAGCUAUUGGAGAAACAAUUAUUUUAAUAAAAAUAUAAAUCUUUGUAAGAUCUAGUUCAAAUAUUUAUAGUUUUUCACUUGCUUUCCAUCACGAUAUAAUUUUCAAGACGUUUUUUCAAACACAACCAAAUCACCCACCAUGACAGCAUUUUGUCCAAUCACAGAAAGGAUUUUCGAGC